GGGUGAGCAUUCUGAUGACUUCCGGAUUUCCGGCAGCAUAUUCGUACUGCACGUGCAUGAGAUUCCGGACUCGUUGACUGAUCUGCUUCUGGACCACAUAGAAAAAUACGGUCACGUGAUAGUAAAAUUCGCGGGGUACCCGAUAAGCAUUGUACCGGAUGCCGAUGCCUUGAACCGCCUUCUACACGAGUCGGCACAUCACUCAAACAAUGUCAGCAUCGCUCAGGACCUUCUGAAUGCCCCCGAUGACCACGUAUGGGUAGGUGCUCGAAAAAAACUCCAGUUGUUAUUUGUGGAAAGAUGGGACAAGUGUGCCUCCCUAUCUGAGGGAUAAAGGUGAACCGAAUAACUUGGAAGGCGAAGAAAACUGCAUCGAUAGGCAUAAGACGGAUCUUUAUCUGAAUGAUGAUGAGUGUUAUAUUAAGCAAGCCUUCAUGUGCCAAGGUUAUAGUCAUUAACACAAAGAAGUUCCAGAAAGAUCACCACCCAUCAUAGAGAGACCUUACGACCCAAAUUCUGUAUACGAUUCACUCUCAGCCAAUACAUAUGAUUAUGCCAUCACUCGAGACGAUGGCCGAUGUUCCGUUUUCGCUUUUGUCGAGGACCAUCAAUGUUCCGCUAAUCAACACAAAGAAGUAACAGAAAGAUCACCACCCACCAUUGAGAGACCUGAUGACUACUGUUAUGUGUACGAUGCUUCCCGAGGCAAUCAAAAUGAUUAUAGCAUUCUUACAUACGACCAAGGCUACGUGGAUGUGGACUAUGCUACAGCUGCUGCAACAUUUAAGAUCCAACGUUUUAGCUAUCAUCCGGCUUACGACAAUGUGAACAUUUUGAGUCAUUUCAACAUCGUAAAUUAAAACUACAUGCUAAUGCAUGUACGCUAAUUUAAGUCUUCAUACUAAACAAACAGUAUAUGUAUGUUUUACGUUAGUUGUUUUCUAGCUUAUUUAUUUUAUAUUUAUUUCGAAUAUUUGUCUCGUCUCGUCUGGCCUCGUUCCGUCUCGUAUUUGCUCGCCUUGUAAUGUCUCGUCGGAUAAGUAAAUACUGCAGUACCAGCAUAUACCUGUAUUUAAGCAAAUAAUAUAAAUUCUGUAUUGUUUUUCAACACGGUUUCACACGUGAUUAAUAUGCGCAUCAUUCUGGUUAAAGUACCUUCAUUUGAACUUUGUGAAGAUGACAUUUAGGCCCAUUGUAACCUAGCCACUAGUUUAUCUGGCUUAUAAAGUCUGUGUAUUAUAUUCGCAUGUCACAUUAAAAACUUACUGUCUAACCUA